AACAACAGCAAUAAAAUGGAGGGCAAGUUCUCUGAGAAUCAUAUAUUUGGAAUUAAAUGUCGGAUAAUCACAUAAUUAACAACAACAAAUAAACAUGGCUACAAUAGCAACAACAUACCAAACCUGCUUAUCUUAUUUCCCCGGACAAGCCAAGCCUACCUCAACUUCUCCCAUAUCAAUACAAACUUGGAAUUUUAUGACACGAAUGAAAGCAAUGUGAUUUUUGCUUCUUGCUUCCUCUCACAUUGCGCACGUAUAUAUACAAACUGAUACAGCAGCAUCAAUGGAGAAUAGCCUAAAUAAAUAAUUCAUCUUCCUUGGAUUCAUCCAAACUACACAUCAAUAGCCUGUGCAACAGACUUUGUGAGGUUCGAGUCACCUUUUCCAUUUAAGUUCGGCUUGUACCUCGCAGGUUUAUGAGAACCUCCUGUCCCUUUACCUGCAAUUCUGCCAUGCCUCGCUGCUUGACCCCCAGCACCUCCCCCACCAUUAGGCAGAGACAACCUCUUCUUUGCCUGUUUAUCUGAUUGUAUUAACCUCUCUUUUGGGUUGCUGUGAGAUCUUUGAACAAGGCCAGGUCUUGAGUUUGCUUCUUCAACCAGAUCUUCAAGAACUGGCUUCACCUUUGGCUUCGCAAAAACUGUGUUUGAUGCAUCUAGCUUGCUAGGAGAAGUACUAAUUCCAUCAGAAUUAGAUGGACCUGUCUUCUGACUUGAAAGGUUUGACUGCCGACUAGAUACAACUGGUUUCUUGCCAGCAGACUUUAUCUGUGGUUUGGUGCCAUUGUUACCAUCUGCUGUUCCAUUUUCAUGAAUCAUGACCUCAUCUUUCAGAUUUAUGUCAAGAAACCGAUUCUCCCAUGGACGGACAGCCAUCCAUCUCUCCAACCAGUUCCAUCCCCAACUGCUUUUAUCUGGUUCAAACCCAGCAGGAGCAGCCUGCUGUCUUGAUCCCGCCUGCCACUGAUGAGCCAAAGCAUAUGCCAUGGCUCUCUCACGCUUAGCUGCUGCCUCCUGCCUCUUUAGCAAUUUGGCUUGAAUUUGUUCAACUGAUCCUACACUGUCACACCACCCGUCCUCUAUUUCUCGAACCCAAGCCUCAUUUGCAAGUUGUUGCUGAAGUUUUUGUUGAGCUGUUUCACUUUCUAAUGCUAAGCGAACACGCCUUGCUCGAAUGCGCGCCUGAACUCUCACCAAAGCUUGCAUGCAGCGAAGAGUUAUUGCAGCCUGCUUUCUCACAGCAUGACCCCUUACAAGUGCUUGUAGUCUAACUAAUCCUUUUAACGCUCGUAGAGCUCUUCUAGCCUGAUACAUUUUCAAUUUUCAAAAGUAAGGGCUCCCAAUAAUUCAAAUACUUCCAAAAACAAUGUUUACAGAACCAGAAUAAAUUGAAGCCCACAAGAUACAUCUGAUGCUGUCAUAUUAAAAAUUGCACAAAGAAGACAAAAUUAGAUUACAGGCAGUCUCGAUUCAACAACUUGUUCUCCAGUGAUAUUGAAGGCUUUGAAGACGAAUGACUAGAAGCAGGUUUGACAAUACAAUUCAAUGACGAUAUCUGAAAUUUCAACUUCUAACAAUCUUAUGCUCAUUUUAUAAUGAGAGAUAAAUAUUUCAAAAUAAAACCUGAACUUAAAUUUUACAAUACCAAACCUAAACUAUACAAAUCAUUAAAAUUCAUAAAGAAACUGAAUUAUGUUUUUUGGUUUCUCAAGAAACUGACCUAGCCUUUUGUAAUUUCACUGUUUCCUGGUGCUGUUUUUGAAGAUGCACAAAGUGAUUAUAUUUCUGCUGCCUUACAUUGAAAUGAAGAAACUUUUCAUAUAAAAUUAGGAUUUAAUUAAUCAUCUAAUAAACUUUAGUUUUAUAUAUGGCUUCAUUGGCUUCUGUGGAAUAGUUGUAUAUUGCACAUAAAAUGAAUCGUAGAGAGAAAUUUUACACCUAUGACUUCAAGUUUUUUAACUAUAAUUUACAAAUUUUGUUUGUAAAAACUGAAUGCAUAAACUCAUUUUAUUUCAUAAGAUUAGCCAUUUUCUUUGAACAACUCAUUUGCAGGUAUAUCUACAGAAACAAAUAAAACUAUGAGCAUAAAUUUAUCACAGUUUUUAGGAGUAAUUUGUUAAAACAGUGCACAAUUGACAUUGUAAAGCCUUAAAAUUUAGUGUCUGAUUUAAAAUUAUCCCCAAGGGCAAAGCACAAUUUACUGCCCAGGCCCACACUUUUUUUUUUGUGGAAAACUUAUGUCAAGUGUAUUUAAUAACACAAAACAUUGACCCAUAAGAAAUACGUUGAACCCAUUAAACACAAUGUUAAAGAUGGAAAAGUCAAUGCUACUACCACAAUACCAUGAACUAUUCAAUAUUACCAGCAUUACCACCACUUUCACUGAUGCAGCCACCACCAUUACUAUCACCUAAACCACGAUGGCUACCACAUGCCUGGAGCAUCAUCAUCAUUACAUCAUAAGAUAUAUGAGUUGAAAACUGAUAUAGGCAUUCUUGAUUGACUACAUUCAUCAAUCUAAAUUAGAUUUUGUGGAUAAUAUCAUUAUUUGAAUGUGGACUUGAAAUGCCUAAAAAAAGAUCUAACAUCUGAUCCAGUUCUUAUCAACCACAUACAUGAAUGCAAUCUUUAUGCAGGAAUCUAAUUAAUUAAAUAAUGAGCUGACAUACAUUCAAACAAUUUAAACUAAAAUCAUGUCCUG
rnacentral:misc_RNA from 1 species